rnacentral:misc_RNA from 1 species
AAGUCGUAACAAGGUCUCCGUAGGUGAACCUGCGGAGGGAUCAUUAUCGAAGAUAAGAGUGCGCUUCAUUGCGGCUCGACCCUUCAUCCACUCACCCUGUGCACUGUAAUACCUUUUUCAUUAGACUCUCAAGUCAUUGAAUGUAACACUUUAAUAAAGUAAACAAAACUUUCAACAACGGAUCUCUUGGCUCUC